CGCGCCCUACGGGAGGCAGCAGUGAGGAAUAUUGGUCAAUGGCCGGAAGGCUGAACCAGCCAAGCCGCGUGAAGGACGAAGGUGCCAAGCAUUGUAAACUUCUUUUGUCAAGGGACAAAAUCAGGCUCGAGAGCCUGACCGAGGGUACUUGACGAGAAAGCAUCGGCUAACUCCGUGCCAGCAGCCGCGGUAAUACGGAGGAUGCGAGCGUUAUCCGGCUUUAUUGGGUUUAAAGGGUGCGUAGGCGGACUGUUAAGUCAGCGGUAAAAGCCCGGGGCUCAACCCCUGC
rnacentral:rRNA from 1 species